GUGCCAGCCGCCGCGGUAAUACGGAGGAUGCAAGCGUUAUCCGGAAUGAUUGGGCGUAAAGCGUCCGCAGGUGGCUGUGUAAGUCUGCUGUUAAAGAGUCUAGCUCAACUAGAUAAAGGCAGUGGAAACUACACGGCUAGAGUGCGUUCGGGGCAGAGGGAAUUCCUGGUGUAGCGGUGAAAUGCGUAGAGAUCAGGAAGAACACCGGUGGCGAAGGCGCUCUGCUAGGCCGCAACUGACACUGAGGGACGAAAGCUAGGGGAGCGAAUGGGAUUAGAUACCCCAGUAGUCC
rnacentral:rRNA from 1 species